rnacentral:rRNA from 1 species
AACGAACGCUGGCGGCGUGCUUAAUACAUGCAAGUCGAACGAGAAACCGGGCUUCGGCCCGGGAGUAAAGUGGCGAACGGGUGAGUAACACGUGGAUAAUCUACCUUUAAGUCUGGGAUAAUCUUCCGAAAGGGGGUCUAAUACCGGAUGACACCUUUUGACGGCAUCGUCGAAAGAUCAAAGGCGGGGCAACCUGUCGCUUAGAGAUGAGUCCGCGCUCCAUUAGCUUGUUGGUGAGGUAAAAGCUCACCAAGGCGACGAUGGAUAGCCGGCCUGAGAGGGUGAACGGCCACACUGGGACUGAGAUACGGCCCAGACUCCUACGGGAGGCAG